CGCGAGCCCAGUGUGCUUGCGCUUGCGCUUGCCCCGCACUCAGUCGCCCCCUCCACGAGUGCACACUCCACUCACGCGGGAUGCGCAGGACGCCGACAAGCAGGCGUCCACAGUGGGUCUGCAGGGACGCAUCGCAUGGGCAGGCCUGGUGGGUGUAGGUGUGCAGGAGUUCGUGGACAUGCGUGUGCACGAUCCCGCGUGGAAGGCACGGUGGACAUGCGUGUGCACAAUCCCGCGUGAAAUGCAAAGGUUACGGGGACCCAGCAACCUCACUUCUCUUGGUACUAUCUGAAAGAAAUACACAACUUAGGAGCACACAGAGACCAGGAGGUAAAUGCACGUAGCAGCUUUGUUCCUCAUCACCAAAACCUGGGAAGAGCUCAAAUACCCCUCCAUUCAGAGGGGAACAGGUCAACGGAGGUCGGUUCAUAGAAUGAAAGUUCAGCAGUCAAGAGGAACGCACUCGCCUUCAAAACAUGCUCAGUGAGGCCGGGCGCGGUGGUUUAUGCCUGUAAUCCCAGCACUUUGGGAGGCCCAGGUGGGCGGAUCACUUGAGGUCAGGUGUUUGAGACCAGCCUGAUCAGCGUGGUGAAACCUCAUCUCUACUAAAAAUACAAAAAAUUAGCCGGCCAUGGUGGUGGGCACCUGUAGUCCCAGCUACUCCGGAGGCUGAAGCAGGAGAAUCGCUUGAACCUGGGAGGCGGAGGUUGCAAUGAGUUGAGAUAGUGCCACUGCACUCCAGCCUGGGUGACAGAACACGACUCAGUCUCAAAAAAUGAAAUGAAAUGAAAUAAAUGAAAUGAAAUGGAAUAAAUAAAAUGAAAAUAAAAAUAAAGCAUGUGCACCCAACACACAAACACACAGGUAUGCACACU
rnacentral:lncRNA from 1 species